UAGCCGCCUACGCCUGGGUGCUCUCGUGAUCGCCUCCUUAACUUGGUGUAGACCAAAAUUGGCAUGGGAGGCUUUGCAGAAGCCGCAUGUGCGUGAGUCGACGAACUGUGUACUCGUGACGCUUGACAUCGACCACGACAGGCCUAGCGGAAGAACCAACAGGUGUCUAUCUGACUGUCCGCGGUGAAGUUCUGGUAUUGCAGCGUUCAUAAUGCGGACGACGUACAGGACUUCCUUGUGGAUUGAUGACAUAUUAUAUUAUACGGACGGACUAGAAAAAAGAGACGGACAAUAAAAGCACUUCGAUCUUGUUCUUCUUACUGCCGUGAAAAUAACGAAACGGAAGGAAAAAGGAUGCGCAACCG